UCCUGUCCGCCCCUUCUCAAAAUGAUGAUCUAUGGCUGUGGUGGAGGCUACACAUCAGUUUGCUCCGUCUUGGUGGUGACUGGUUUUCAUAGACACAGACAGAAUUUGCCACGAGCUACAAGAGAGGACAUCUCAUUCUUUUAUCCACGGCGAGUCAUUGUGGUGGUGUCAGCUGGUGCCGUCUCUUUUAUCACACACUGGAAGCUAAUGGAAGCAAGGAGGAGAAGUGCCAAAAGCGAUGCCCGGAUAUGAAUUACCUGCCUGGAUAACUCUGUCGCAUUGGCCCUGCGACCCUUUGCUGCCUCCUAACAUGACACAGGGGUUAAUUAGGUGUCCAUCUGCACUUGGCUCAGUGCAAGCAUUUCUACCGCCCAUACGGGUAAAGAGGCGAGCUGGGAGUGCACAGAGGAGAGCAGACGUGUUAAUGUGGCCUGUCAGUGUCAGACACGACAUGCAGAAGACAAACCCAGAGGUUGUGCUAGUUCUGAAACAUUGUUUGUUAAUAAAUGCUUUGAGGAGCAACUUGAUGAAGAGGCAAGCCUGAGGUAAGUGUAAUUUUGUGAGCUCUUGUUUUAGUAUACAAUAAUUAUACUGUUCAAUAAUACUCUACAUAAAUAAACCGUAAUAUAGAUGCUAUUAGAUUCGAUUCAGUAGAUAAAUUCGAUUUACAGUUUUCUGUCAUAUGUAACCACAGAAUGUAUUGGGGGUUGUGACAUUUUAUGGCAUUCUUCUCCUUGAGAGACAAUAUAUCACAGUCAAAUGUUAUGAUAUAAAACAAUUGGAUAUGAAUUACCUCUGGACCAGAAGAUAUAACUUCUUUCUCAUGACAAAUGCACUAUGAACAUGAUAAGCGUCAAACACUGCU